CCUACGGGAGGCAGCAGUGGGGAAUAUUGGGCAAUGGGCGCAAGCCUGACCCAGCAACGCCGCGUGAAGGAAGAAGGCUUUCGGGUUGUAAACUUCUUUUCUCAGGGACGAAGAAAGUUACGGUACCUGAGGAAUAAGCCACGGCUAACUACGUGCCAGCAGCCGCGGUAAUACGUAGGUGGCAAGCGUUAUCCGGAUUUAUUGGGUGUAAAGGGCGUGUAGGCGGGAGCGCAAGUCAGAUGUGAAAACUCAGGGCUCAACCCUGAGCCUGCAUUUGAAACUGUGUUUCUUGAGUGCUGGGGAGGCAAUCGGAAUUCCGGGGGUAGCGGUGAAAUGCGUAGAUAUACGGAGGAACACCAGUGGCGAAGGCGGAUUGCUGGACAGUAACUGACGCUGAGGCGCGAAAGCGUGGGGAGCAAACAGGAUUAGAUACCCCAGUAGUC
rnacentral:rRNA from 1 species